GGACGUAGCUCAAUGGCAGAGCACUGGCCUGUGGAGCCAGGGGUUGCGGGUUCAAUCCCCGUCGUC
rnacentral:tRNA from 1 species